CUUGCAGCAGCGGUUUGUUUCAAGGUUGCCCGUGUCUUAUGGAAUUCCAUUUUCCGAGGUGCAGCAAUUUGGCUCUCAUCAAAAGGGAAGAUUUGAUGCCUGGACUGUUUCCCCUGGAAUACCUUUCCAUCCCUUUCCUCCUUUACCUCCAUAUCCCUGUGAUAGAAGAGGUUUUGUGCCUACUGCUAGUGAGCUGCCUCAAAAUGCUGGAGAAGAUUGGGGUGCUUGUUCACCUAGUCACUUGGCUCAAAAUCCUCCAAGCGUAUCUGGAGCAGACCAGCCUCAGGAUGGCAAUGGAAACCAACUUGGUUGUGAAAGAGCCAGUGAGUCUCAUAACUUGGGAAGGAAAAACUUUAGGAAGCAAAAGUUCAAUAAUUCCAAGUUAGUACCUCCCUGGCUUCGGAUAAGAAGUGGCUGGGAAUACACAGGGAAUAGCAUGUGCAUUCCA
rnacentral:misc_RNA from 1 species